UACAGAGGUCUCAACCGUUGUUCGGAUUCAUUGGGCGUAAAGGGUGCGUAGGCGGUCGCGCAAGUCGGAUGUGAAAUCUCAGGGCUCAACCCUGAAACUGCAUUCGAUACUGCGUGGCUAGAGUGCUGGAGAGGAGACUGGAAUUUACGGUGUAGCAGUGAAAUGCGUAGAUAAUCGUAAGGAAGACCAGUGGCGAAGGCGAGUCUCUGGACAGCAACUGACGCUGAGGCACGAAGGCCAGGGGAGCAAACGGG
rnacentral:rRNA from 1 species